rnacentral:rRNA from 1 species
AUGGGCGCAAGCCUGAUGCAGCCAUGCCGCGUGUGUGAAGAAGGCCUUCGGGUUGUAAAGCACUUUCAGUCGUGAGGAAGGUAGUGUAGUUAAUAGCUGCAUUAUUUGACGUUAGCGACAGAAGAAGCACCGGCUAACUCCGUGCCAGCAGCCGCGGUAAUACGGAGGGUGCGAGCGUUAAUCGGAAUUACUGGGCGUAAAGCGCAUGCAGGUGGUUUGUUAAGUCAGAUGUGAAAGCCCGGGGCUCAACCUCGGAAUAGCAUUUGAAACUGGCAGACUAGAGUACUGUAGAGGGGGGUAGAAUUUCAGGUGUAGCGGUGAAAUGCGUAGAGAUCUGAAGGAAUACCGGUGGCGAAGGCGGCCCCCUGGACAGAUACUGACACUCAGAUGCGAAAGCGUGGGGAGCAAACAGGAUUAGAUACCCUGGUAGUCCACGCCGUAAACGAUGUCUACUUGGAGGUUGUGGCCUUGAGCCGUGGCUUUCGGAGCUAACGCGUUAAGUAGACCGCCUGGGGAGUACGGUCGCAAGAUUAAAACUCAAAUGAAUUGACGGGGGCCCGCACAAGCGGUGGAGCAUGUGGUUUAAUUCGAUGCAACGCGAAGAACCUUACCUACUCUUGACAUCCAG